UACGUAGGGGGCUAGCGUUGUCCGGAAUCAUUGGGCGUAAAGCGCGUGUAGGCGGUCCGGUAAGUCCGCUGUGAAAGUCGGGGGCUCAACCCUCGAAUGCCGGUGGAUACUGUCGGGCUAGAGUCCGGAAGAGGCGAGUGGAAUUCCUGGUGUAGCGGUGAAAUGGCGCAGAUAUCAGGAGGAACACCAAUGGCGAAGGCAGCUCGCUGGGACGGUACUGACGCUGAGGCGCGAAAGCGUGGGGAGCAAACAGG
rnacentral:rRNA from 1 species